rnacentral:rRNA from 1 species
ACGUAAGGGGCAAGCGUUGUCCGGAAUCAUUGGGCGUAAAGCGCGUGUAGGCGGCUUGGUAAGUCUGGUGUGAAAACUUGGGGCUCAACCCCAAGCCUGCACCGGAAACUGCCUCGCUUGAGUCCGGGAGGGGAGAGCGGAAUUCCUAGUGUAGCGGUGAAAUGCGCAGAUAUUAGGAAGAACACCGGUGGCGAAGGCGGCUCUCUGGAACGGUACUGACGCUGAGACGCGAAAGCAUGGGGAGCGAACAGGA